UCCUGGUAUCACUGGACUUGGUGUUGCUGCUCUUCAAAUUCGUACUUCUACCCUUCCUUCUAUAGAUACAAUUGGUGUUCCAAGUGAAUGUUUACUGUUGAAAAAUAUGUUUGAUCCAGCAGUUGAGACGGAACCAAACUUUGACUUGGACAUUAAAGAAGAUGUUCAGGAGGAGUGUUCAAAAUACGGGAAUUUGAGGCAUAUCUUUGUAGACAAGAAUACCGCUGGUCAUGUGGACUUACGAUUCGAGAACACACAAGCUGCGAUAAAUGCUCGGCAUGUUCUCCAUGGAACAACUGACAGUUUAUUUUGAUUUGCCUCCAGAGUCAAAACAGACAGCUUGUCUGUUUUGAGCACAAGAAGAAGAAGAGAAGGGAAGUCAAACCCAGACACAUUCUGCUGCUGUCAGUAUUGAUGACCGCCAAUCAUCAUUCGUCAUCUUCAGCUAAAAUUGGGUUUUGCCAGAACUUGAAAAAAUUCAAAGCAAUUUCUUA